rnacentral:rRNA from 1 species
GACAGAGGCCUCAAGCGUUAGGCGGAAUCACUGGGCUUAAAGCGUGUGUAGGCGGAUGCCUAAGUACCUUGUGAAAUCCCACGGCUCAACCGUGGAACUGCUGGGUAUACUGGGCGUCUUGGGCCAUUCAGGGGCGACUGGAACAAGCGGUGGAGCGGUGAAAUGCGUAGAUAUCGGAAGGAACACCGGUGGCGAAAGCGGCGCGCUGGAUCCCUUCUGACGCUGAGGCGCGAAAGCCAGGGGAGCGAACGGG